UCCUCCUUUGUACACACCGCCCGUCGCUACUACCGAUUGAAUGGCUCAGUGAGGCGUCCGGACUGGCCCAGAGAGGUGGGCAACUACCACUCAGGGCCGGAAAGCUCUCCAAACUCGGUCAUUUAGAGGAAGUAAAAGUCGUAACAAGGUCUCCGUUGGUGAACCAGCGGAGGGAUCAUUAC
rnacentral:rRNA from 1 species